rnacentral:rRNA from 1 species
AAAAGUGAAAGACGGUCUUGCUGUCACUUAUAGAUGGAUCCGCGCUGCAUUAGCUAGUUGGUAAGGUAACGGCUUACCAAGGCAACGAUGCAUAGCCGACCUGAGAGGGUGAUCGGCCACACUGGAACUGAGACACGGUCCAGACUCCUACGGGAGGCAGCAGUAGGGAAUCUUCCGCAAUGGGCGAAAGCCUGACGGAGCAACGCCGCGUGAGUGAUGAAGGUCUUCGGAUCGUAAAACUCUGUUAUUAGGGAAGAACAUAUGUGUAAGUAACUGUGCACAUCUUGACGGUACCUAAUCAGAAAGCCACGGCUAACUACGUGCCAGCAGCCGCGGUAAUACGUAGGUGGCAAGCGUUAUCCGGAAUUAUUGGGCGUAAAGCGCGCGUAGGCGGUUUUUUAAGUCUGAUGUGAAAGCCCACGGCUCAACCGUGGAGGGUCAUUGGAAACUGGAAAACUUGAGUGCAGAAGAGGAAAGUGGAAUUCCAUGUGUAGCGGUGAAAUGCGCAGAGAUAUGGAGGAACACCAGUGGCGAAGGCGACUUUCUGGUCUGUAACUGACGCUGAUGUGCGAAAGCGUGGGGAUCAAACAGGAUUAGAUACCCUGGUAGUCCACGCCGUAAACGAUGAGUGCUAAGUGUUAGGGGGUUUCCGCCCCUUAGUGCUGCAGCUAACGCAUUAAGCACUCCGCCUGGGGAGUACGACCGCAAGGUUGAAACUCAAAGGAAUUGACGGG